GUAGGGAUAGCUCAGUGGUAGAGUGUGUGCUUAGCAUGCACGGGGUCCUGGGUUCAAUCCCCAGUACCGCCA
rnacentral:tRNA from 1 species